CAGCAGUCAAGAAUAUUAGUCAAUGCUCGCAAGAGUGAACUAGCUAACUGAAAUCCUUGAUGUGUCAUCGAGGAUAACGUAAGGGAAAWCAAUGAUAGUACCUUACUAUUAGUGUCGUCCAAGUGCUCGUGCCAGAAGACUCGGUAAGGCGAGAGACGCAAACGUUAUUCGUCUUGAUCAGGCGUAAAGGGUUUGUAGGCGGCUUUAAGUAUCCAAUUUUAAGUUUACUAUUAUACUCUCCCGCUCAAAUAAAUCCGGGCAUAGUGUUAUAAUAUUUAUUAAAGGAUCAAUUAAAGCUAGAAUCUAACAGAGGUUAAAACAAUACUUAAGUUAGGUGUACUAACCUUAGAUAUUAAGCAGAGUGUUAAGGGCGAAGGCAUUUAUCCACUGAAGAUUGACGCUGAGAAACGAAGGUGAGGACAGAAAAAAGGAUUAGAGACCCUUGUAUCCCUCACUGUCAACGAUGAAUGGUAGUUACUAGGGAGAAAUAACCUAGAGACGAUGUUAACACGAAAACCAUUCCGCCUUGUGAGUACGACUGCAAAGUUGAAAACAAAAAAAUUAGUCGGUUUCGGAGCAAACGAAGCGAAGCAUGUUAUUUAAUUCGAUAAUCCGC
rnacentral:rRNA from 1 species